AGGGAGACUGAGGCCAAGGGGAGCCCUGUGUCUUCAAGGUUCAGACCAUGGUUUCAUGAGCCCUAAGUGACAUCCAGUGUUUAAGUGAUCCUUGCUUUUCCCAUCUUGGAUAGGAGGACUUAGUGAGUGCUCUGGACCUGGUAAGCAUGGUGGCAUCUCAUGGCUUUGAGCUCUCUAUUUUAUGGGAAUCAACAUAUAUAAUGGCUAAUUUCCCAGGUGGCUCAGUGAUAAAGAAUCUGCCUGCCAAUGCAAGAGAGGACGGUUUGAUCUCUGGGUCAGGAAGAUCCCCUGGAGGAGGAAAUGACAACCCACUCCGGUAUUCUUACCUGGGAAAUUCCAAGGACAGAGGAACCUGGUGGGCUACAGUCCAUGGGGUCACAAACAGUUAGACAUGACUGAGCGACUAAGCACAUACACAAAGUGAUCAUAAAUGUAUUUCUUGUAAGAUUCAAAAGGCACUGUGGGUAUCUUAUUAUAGAAAUGAUUUAUCAACAGAAUAGCAAACAGAUUCUUCUUUGGGGAACUUUUUAUAAAGUUUCUAGUUGUUUAGGUUCUCUAUAAUUGGGAAUUUACUGUUACUUCCUGAUUUAGACUCACUUUAUUUCCUAUUAAAACAAGAAUCAUUAGUAACAUGAAUAGUAUACAGAAUUUAACUUUCCUUGGAGAUAAAAACAGUGGAAAUAUUAUUACUAUAAACAUAAAGUAAGAAAUACCUAGUUCCAUUUCAUUGCUAAUAGACUCUUAGAAACACAAAAUUACAGAAUUGUAGUACUAGAUAGGAAUCUGGGAAGGUCACUGGCAUUUUAUUAUUAGAUUAUCUCAAAUCAGUAUUUUUGGUGUUAGUCUUUAUGGCUUAUCUUCAGAAGCAAUCUUAGGAAACGCUCCAUAGAUGUGGGUCACAGAGUUAUGAUGAACGGUUCAUACCCAAUAUUUCUGCCACUUCCAAGUGCCGCUCAGGAAGCAUCUGUGAUGUGAACGUGAACACUGCCGGGGAGGUGAGCACCACAGAAAGGCCAUGAGGCUGGGGAGAAAGGAAACGUGGUGACUGCUGGGGAAGGCUGGUCUUCAGCCUAAUAUUCUAGAUAUUAAAUUACUUUAUCCUGUAUUCCAAACAAUCAAGAAUCGACAAAAAACACUGAUGGCAAUUGACAGGAAUCUAAGAUUAAAUUAAGGCAUUUAUUAUGAUUUUACCACCAGGGGAUGAUCCACAUUGUAAUCCUUUGCUUUAUAAGUCUUCACUAAGCCCGAAAUUGGGUAAGACAUUCCAUGGCUAGAAAAAAAAUAAAGUCCUUAUAUUGACAUACAUCUAACAGAAAUUCAAGUUAACAAUACAAAGAUACUCUUAUGGGAGAGCCCCUCACAGUCUCUUGACAGUAUCAUUAACCCACAAGGUUAGAUGUUUUGUUUUCUUUGAUUCCCAUAAGGAUAUAUUAUUAUGCAAUUGAUAUUUGGCACAUUCAUUGACUAAACUGCUGAAAUGUUCAAAAUCAAAUGUUGAUAGAACUACACGCCAUUAAAAAGUACUGACAUAGAAGUUGCUCCUUGAGCACAUUGGUUAACCUUAUGAUCUUGAAGAAAUCAAGAAUUCACUUUGAAGUUUUUUUUUUAACAAUCUUCAGGGUAUGCAUUUUCUGUCUUGCUCGGCACAGCCUUGGCAAUGUGCUCCUUCACAAACUGAAUAUGUUGGUGGGAGUUUUAUGAACCAAGAUGUACUGUGCUAGACGUGCAAGCUUGUUCCGCCAGUGAUCCAUCUUGCCAGGGAUUAAUACGUUCUUUUAAAUGCUACGUACUAAUGGGAACUGAGUCAUACAUGAUUAUUUCAGUCUGUAAGGCUAUCGAGAAAAGGCACCAUGGUUUUCAUUUGUGGGGAUUUUUUCUGUUUAUUUUAAUGGGAAAACUCUCAAAUUCUUAGUGUACAAAUAGGACAAUAUAAUAGUUUAUAAGAUGACCCAGGAGAUAAACACUGUGAGAAGUUAACAUCUUUACAAUUGAUAUUUUGAAAAUGAAAUGCUUUACAAUAGUAAAAGGGUCUGUUAGUCCGUUAAUGUGGGUUUUAUUGGAUUACUUUGUUCUUAGUAAAAAAUUUGUAUUUCAUAGAAAGAUGAAGUGUUUUGGUGAAUUGUAUGGUUAUCCAAAAAAAAGAUGCCCCAUGCCUGUCAUCACUCAUAAAGCAGAUCA